rnacentral:tRNA from 1 species
GGGCGGUUAGCUCAGCUGGUUAGAGCGUCUGGUUUACACCCAGAAGGUCGCGGGUUCGAAUCCCCCACCGCCCACCA